AGACGCAAUAAGCAUUCCACCUGGGGAGUACGUUCGCAAGAAUGAAACUCAAAGGAAUUGACGGGGACCCGCACAAGCUGUGGAGCAUGUGGUUUAAUUCGAAGCAACGCGAAGAACCUUACCAAGUCUUGACAUCCCCCUGACCGGCCGGUAAAGCGGCCUUUCCUUCGGGACAGGGGAGACAGGUGGUGCAUGGUUGUCGUCAGCUCGUGUCGUGAGAUGUUGGGUUAAGUCCCGCAACGAGCGCAACCCUUAUCCUUAGUAGCCAGCAGGUAAAGCUGGGCACUCUAGGGAGACUGCCAGGGAUAACCUGGAGGAAGGUGGGGAUGACGUCAAAUCAUCAUGCCCCUUAUGAUUUGGGCUACACACGUGCUACAAUGGCGUAAACAAAGGGAAGCGACCCUGCGAAGGCAAGCAAAUCCCAAAAAUAACGUCCCAGUUCGGACUGUAGUCUGCAACCCGACUACACGAAGCUGGAAUCGCUAGUAAUCG
rnacentral:rRNA from 1 species